ncrna:unclassified sequences pemK RNA
AUAAUGAGACUUCCGUCGAAGGACGGCUCGGUGAGAACCACGGAGGGGCAGAAGGACCCAUGG